AAGUCGAGCGCACCUUCGGGUGAGCGGCGGACGGGUUAGUAACGCGUGGGAACAUACCCUUUUCUACGGAAUAGCCUCGGGAAACUGAGAGUAAUACCGUAUAAGCCCUUCGGGGGAAAGAUUUAUCGGGAAAGGAUUGGCCCGCGUUAGAUUAGAUAGUUGGUGGGGUAAUGGCCUACCAAGUCUACGAUCUAUAGCUGGUUUUAGAGGAUGAUCAGCAACACUGGGACUGAGACACGGCCCAGACUCCUACGGGAGGCAGCAGUGGGGAAUCUUAGACAAUGGGCGCAAGCCUGAUCUAGCCAUGCCGCGUGUGUGAUGAAGGUCUUAGGAUCGUAAAGCACUUUCGCCAGGGAUGAUAAUGACAGUACCUGGUAAAGAAACCCCGGCUAACUCCGUGCCAGCAGCCGCGGUAAUACGGAGGGGGUUAGCGUUGUUCGGAAUUACUGGGCGUAAAGCGUACGUAGGCGGAUUGGAAAGUUGGGGGUGAAAUCCCA
rnacentral:rRNA from 1 species